rnacentral:rRNA from 1 species
AAGACUUGGCGGUGCCCUAUACCACCUAGAGGAGCCUGUUCUAUAAUCGAUAAUCCCCGAUUCACCUCACCAUCUCUUGCCCAUACCGCCUGUAUACCUCCGUCACCAACUGACCCCCCAAGGGUGUUAGUCGGUUCAAAGGCCCCCCCCGCCAACAAGUCAGGUCAAGGUGCAGCGAAUGAGACGGGAAGUAAUGGGCUACAUUUUCUACUAUUAGAUAAGACGAAAAAUCACUAUGAAACCUGAUUGGAAGGCGGAUUUAGCAGUAAAAAGAGACGAGAGUGCUCCUUUUAAGAUGGCCCUGAGGCGCGCACACACCGCCCGUCACCCUCCUCAACCCUAAAAUUCUUAAAUUUAUUUAGCCAAACAAGGAAUAAGAUGAGGCAAGUCGUAACAUGGUAAGUCCACCGGAAGGUGGACUUGG